rnacentral:rRNA from 1 species
GACGUAGGGCGCGAGCGUUAUCCGGAAUUAUUGGGCGUAAAGAGCUCGUAGGCGGUUUGUCGCGUCUGCCGUGAAAGUCCGGGGCUCAACUCCGGAUCUGCGGUGGGUACGGGCAGACUAGAGUGAUGUAGGGGAGACUGGAAUUCCUGGUGUAGCGGUGAAAUGCGCAGAUAUCAGGAGGAACACCGGUGGCGAAGGCGGAUCUCUGGGCCAUUACUGACGCUGAGGAGCGAAAGCGUGGGGAGCGAACAGG